rnacentral:rRNA from 1 species
AUGUUUGGUGCAAAAAAGCGCUUUCGCUUUGAGCUUUACUGGACAAAGCUGGAGGGCUUCGAAGACGCUGUCAGAGAGGCUUGGGUUUGCAAUAAUGAGAUCUUCGAUCCGUUCAAAAGGCUGGAUGCGUUGUUCAGGAACACGACAUCCUACCUGCAAGCUUGGGGGCAGAGAAAGACCGGGAACAUCAAAAUGCUCAUGAAAAUUGCAAAUUGGCUGAUUGCGAGAUUUGAUAGAGCUCAGGAGGUGAGACACAUAUCUCAGUUGGAAACGUGGCUGCGCAGAACUUUGAAGCUCUCAUUGCUUGGAUUAGCGUACCAUAGACAGGCAAAGAUCCCGGAUCCGUUGGCUUAG